rnacentral:tRNA from 1 species
GAGGGUAUAGCUCAGUGGUAGAGCAUUUGCUUAGCAUGCAUGAGGUCCUGGGUUCAAUCCCCAGUACCACCA